rnacentral:rRNA from 1 species
CCUACGGGAGGCAGCAGUGGGGAAUAUUGGGCAAUGGGCGCAAGCCUGACCCAGCAACGCCGCGUGAAGGAAGAAGGCUUUCGGGUUGUAAACUUCUUUUCUCAGGGACGAAGCAAGUGACGGUACCUGAGGAAUAAGCCAAGGCUAACUACGUGCCAGCAUCCGCGGCAAUACGUAGGUGGCAAGCGUUAUCCGGAUUUACUGGGUGUAAGGGGCGUGUAGGCGGGACUGCAAGUCAGAUGUGAAAACCACGGGCUCAACCUGUGGCCUGCAUUUGAAACUGUAGGUCUAGAGUACUGGAGAGGCAGGCGGAAUGCCUAGUGUAGCGGUGAAAUGCGUAGAUAUUAGGAGGAACACCAGUGGCGAAGGCGGUCUGCUGGACAGCAACUGACGCUGAGGCGCGAAAGCGUGGGGAGCAAACAGGAUUAGAUACCCCAGUAGUC